rnacentral:rRNA from 1 species
GAUGAACGCUGGCGGCGUGCCUAAUACAUGCAAGUCGAGCGAACAGACGAGGAGCUUGCUCCUCUGACGUUAGCGGCGGACGGGUGAGUAACACGUGGAUAACCUACCUAUAAGACUGGGAUAACUUCGGGAAACCGGAGCUAAUACCGGAUAAUAUAUUGAACCGCAUGGUUCAAUAGUGAAAGACGGUUUUGCUGUCACUUAUAGAUGGAUCAGCGCUGCAUUAGCUAGUUGGUAAGGUAACGGCUUACCAAGGCAACGAUGCGUAGCCGACCUGAGAGGGGGAUCGGCCACACUGGAACUGAGAGGCGGUCCAGAGACCUACGGGAGGCAGCAGUAGGGAAUCUUCCGCAAUGAGCGAAAGCCUGACGGAGCAACGCCGCGUGGGUGAUGAAGGGCUUCGGAUCGUAAAACGCUGUUAUUAGGGAAGAACAAAUGUGUAAGUAACUAUGCACGUCUUGACGGUACCUAAUCAGAAAGCCACGGCUAACUACGU